rnacentral:misc_RNA from 1 species
GCCUAGCCCCGAUCGCAGCAUUUGUUUGAGCUCAUUUUUAGAUUUCGGCGGCGGCAAAGCCGCCGCCGAAAUCUAAAAAUAGCGAGUGCGAAGAGCGGGAAAUAGC